rnacentral:rRNA from 1 species
CGGAACGGGUGAGUAAUGCGUGACCAACCUGCCCCAUGCUCCAGAAUAGCUCUUGGAAACGGGUGGUAAUGCUGGAUGCUCCAACUUGACGCAUGUCUUGUUGGGAAAGUGUUUAGUGGCAUGGGAUGGGGUCGCGUCCUAUCAGCUUGUAGGCGGGGUAAUGGCCCACCUAGGCUUCGACGGGUAGCCGGCCUGAGAGGGCGGACGGCCACAUUGGGACUGAGAUACGGCCCAGACUCCUACGGGAGGCAGCAGC